GCCGAGGUCGCCUAGCCAGGUAGGGCGGCGGCCUGCUACUGCAUGCAGGCAGCCGUUGGGGGAAACCCCGCACGGGUUCAAAUCCCGUCCUCGGCG
rnacentral:tRNA from 1 species